GUGGGGAAUAUUGGACAAUGGGGGAAACCCUGAUCCAGCGACGCCGCGUGAGUGAAGAAGUAUUUCGGUAUGUAAAGCUCUAUCAGCAGGGAAGAUGAUGACGGUACCUGACUAAGAAGCCCCGGCUAACUACGUGCCAGCAGCCGCGGUAAUACGUAGGGGGCAAGCGUUAUCCGGAUUUACUGGGUGUAAAGGGAGUGUAGGCGGCUGUGCAAGUCAGAAGUGAAAGCCCGGGGCUUAACCCCGGGACUGCUUUUGAAACUGCAUAGCUUGAGUGCAGGAGAGGUAAGCGGAAUUCCUAGUGUAGCGGUGAAAUGCGUAGAUAUUAGGAAGAACACCGGUGGCGAAGGCGGCUUACUGGACUGAGACUGACGCUGAGGCUCGAAAGCGUGGGGAGCAAACAGG
rnacentral:rRNA from 1 species